rnacentral:rRNA from 1 species
ACGCUGGCGGCGUGCUUAACACAUGCAAGUCGAACGAUGAAGCCUAGCUUGCUAGGUGGAUUAGUGGCGAACGGGUGAGUAAUACGUGAGUAACCUACCUUUAACUCUGGGAUAAGCCUGGGAAACUGGGUCUAAUACCGGAUACGACCAAUCUCCGCAUGGGGUGUUGGUGGAAAGCGUUAUGUAGUGGUUAUAGAUGGGCUCACGGCCUAUCAGCUUGUUGGUGAGGUAACGGCUCACCAAGGCGACGACGGGUAGCCGGCCUGAGAGGGUGACCGGCCACACUGGGACUGAGACACGGCCCAGACUCCUACGGGAGGCAGCAGUGGGGAAUAUUGCACAAUGGGCGCAAGCCUGAUGCAGCGACGCCGCGUGAGGGAUGACGGCCUUCGGGUUGUAAACCUCUGUUAGCAGGGAAGAAGAGAGAUUGACGGUACCUGCAGAGAAAGCGCCGGCUAACUACGUGCCAGCAGCCGCGGUAAUACGUAGGGCGCGAGCGUUGUCCGGAAUUAUUGGGCGUAAAGAGCUUGUAGGCGGUUUGUCGCGUCUGCUGUGAAAGGCCGGAGCUUAACUCCGUGUAUUGCAGUGGGUACGGGCAGACUAGAGUGCAGUAGGGGAGACUGGAAUUCCUGGUGUAGCGGUGGAAUGCGCAGAUAUCAGGAGGAACACCGAUGGCGAAGGCAGGUCUCUGGGCUGUAACUGACGCUGAGAAGCGAAAGCAUGGGGAGCGAACAGGAUUAGAUACCCUGGUAGUCCAUGCCGUAAACGUUGGGCACUAGGUGUGGGGGACAUUCCACGUUUUCCGCGCCGUAGCUAACGCAUUAAGUGCCCCGCCUGGGGAGUACGGCCGCAAGGCUAAAACUCAAAGAAAUUGACGGGGGCCCGCACAAGCGGCGGAGCAUGCGGAUUA